UCCGUAGGUGAACCUGCGGAAGGAUCAUUACAGAGUUCAUGCCCUCACGGGUAGAUCUCCCACCCUUGAAUACUUAUACCUUUGUUGCUUUGGCGGGCCGCUUCGGCUACCGGCUUCGGCUGGUGAGUGCCCGCCAGAGGACCCAAAACUCUGAAUUAUAGUGUCGUCUGAGUACUAUAUAAUAGUUAAAACUUUCAACAACGGAUCUCUUGGUUCUGGCAUCGAUGAAGAACGCAGCGAAAUGCGAUAAGUAAUGUGAAUUGCAGAAUUCAGUGAAUCAUCGAAUCUUUGAACGCACAUUGCGCCCCUUGGUAUUCCGAGGGGCAUGCCUGUUCGAGCGUCAUUAUAACCCCUCAAGCUCAGCUUGGUGUUGGGGCCUGCUGCACUGGCAGCCCUUAAAAUCAGUGGCGGCGCCAUCUGGCUCUAAGCGUAGUAAUUCUUCUCGCUAUGGAGUCCUGGUGGAUGCUUGCCAUCAACCCCCAAUUUUUCUAUGGUUGACCUCGGAUCAGGUAGGGAUACCCGCUGAACUUAAGCAUAUCAAUAAGCGGAGGGAAGUCGGACUGGCCAAGGGGCACACCAGGGGGGGGGGAUA
rnacentral:rRNA from 1 species